GGAGCAUUAGGAACAAAGGUAGAAGGAUGUGGAGAUGGUUGAGGUGGAGCAGCUGGGGUUUGAAGUGGUUGUUGGACAGGCUGUGGAGGAGGUACUUGUUGCCAAGAGUCUGGUUGUCCGAUGCUAGCCUUUCCAGAUGCAAUCACUACUGAAGAAAGGCUUUUAUGGUCUAACAGAGGACAAUGGAUGGAAGAACCAGCCCAGAAGGCUUCCCAAUUGUCGAUCUGAAUGAUGGUUGGAUGAAAUUGCAUGAUCAUCGAUUGAUGAAGGUGUACUUGGACCACGUCCAUCCAACCAGCAUUUUGGAGGAGCAAAUAAAAGUCCAAAAGCAGCUUGAAUGAUUCAGAUUUUAAUUUGUUAUUGUGUCUUGGGUGUCUCAUUGAGUUGAAUCAGAAUCAGCUUCCGUUCACACUAUAGUGCCAUGAACACCGACCAACUAAAGUCUUUGCUUGUUUCCUUGUUAGUUAAGUCCCAGAAUAGCAAGGCAUUGUAGUCAUUUUGGAUUUGGGGGGGCUGCAUUAGGCAUCCAAAACAUUGUACAGAGAUAUCAUGGAGAACUAAGAAAAGGCCUAGUUUAGUUUCCUUGUG